GGCCACUUUCUUUCUCCACUGCAGUCGCGCUGUCCCCACGCUGCUCCUGCCUCAUGGCACCAAUGGUUAUGGCCCUCAUUCUCGGUUGGUGGCUGGUGGCAGCGAGCAGGGCACAGCAAUUGCCCCGACCCUCCCUGUCACUGCACCCCAGCCAGGGGGUGUCCAUGGGAGACAAUGUCACCCUGCGUUGCCACCUGCCCCGCAUGGCUGCCUGGGUCCAGCUCUGGCACAAUGGAACUCUGAGAUUUAACAAGGAAAAAGACAAGGAGCAGGAUGCAGCUGAGUUCUCCUUUGCUGUCACAAACCUGGAGGACGCCGGGACAUAUCAGUGUCGGUACCAGGUGUCAGAGCCACUGUGGACAUCAAAUCAGAGUGACCCCGUGGAGCUGGUGCUGACAGCUCGGGCCUCUACUUUUACUUCAAUGGCUGCAGCCUCUGGAAGCGGAGAAAUGAGAGCGCAGGUGUCACCCCUGAGAUGCCCGAGUCAGUGCAAUUCCAGGCCCUCCAGGGACAGCGAGGAUCUGACCUACGCCGAGAUGCCAGCUGCCAUCCCGUGCUCCCAGCCUCCCACUUCCCCCACUGCCCCCCAGUCCCCUGUCAUCUACACCACAGUGAGGACUGAUUUACCACGCUGAUGGGCCUCCCCAAGUGUCUCAUUUCUGGGGUGUGUGGAAGGGGACACACCUCAAAUUCCCUGCUUGGGACUCCCUGAUGUCCUGUUCUAACCACAAACCAGAUAACCUCCCCAAAUCUAACAAUCCCAAAUUCUCAUUGGUGCAUCCCAAAUGCUUUCCAGACACACCGAAUCCCUAAAUGCUCAUCUCUUACCCCAAAGUCCUUCUUUAUCCCCUCAAAUCUCUUAACAGUCCCUGAGACCUCCAAGUCCUCUCCCAUCCACUCCCAAACACCACCACCAUUCCUGUGAGACCCCCUCAUCUGUCCCUAUCUACCCCUCUUAUGGACAUCCCCAGGCAUGUCUCUUUGCUCCCCUUCCAUUUCCCACUGAUGCUCAAUAGAUCCCCUAUAAAUUCUCCAAUAUUUCCUGCCUCCUAUUCUCUUCCAGUAUUAUCAUUGGUCUUUGGGUGCUGAGCAAUUCCUUU
rnacentral:lncRNA from 7 species